rnacentral:rRNA from 1 species
AUUGAACGCUGGCGGAAUGCUUUACACAUGCAAGCCGAGCGGCAGCGCGGGGGCAACCCUGGCGGCGAGCGGCGAACGGGUGAGUAAUGCAUCGGAACGUACCCAUUUGUGGGGGAUAACUAUCCGAAAGGAUAGCUAAUACCGCAUAAGUCCUGAGGGAGAACGCGGGGGAUCGCAAGACCUCGCGCGAAGGGAGUGGCCGAUGCCGGAUUAACUAGUUGGUAGGGGAAAGGCCUACCAAGGCGACGAUCCGUAGCUGGUCUGAGAGGAUGAUCAGCCACACUGGGACUGAGACACGGCCCAGACUCCUACGGGAGGCAGCAGUGGGGAAUUUUGGACAAUGGGGGCAACCCUGAUCCAGCAAUGCCGCGUGAGUGAAGAAGGCCUUCGGGUUGUAAGGCUCUUUUGUCAGGGAAGAAACACCGGCUCUAACACAGUCCGGGAAUGACGGUACCUGAAGAAUAAGCACCGGCUAACUACGUGCCAGCCGCCGCCGUAAAAC